AGUGAACGCUGGCGGUAGGCCUAACACAUGCAAGUCGAACGGCAGCACAGUAAGGGCUUGCUCUUACGGGUGGCGAGUGGCGGACGGGUGAGGAAUACAUCGGAAUCUACUUUUUCGUGGGGGAUAACGUAGGGAAACUUACGCUAAUACCGCAUACGACCUACGGGUGAAAGCAGGGGAUCUUCGGACCUUGCGCGAUUGAAUGAGCCGAUGUCGGAUUAGCUAGUUGGCGGGGUAAAGGCCCACCAAGGCGACGAUCCGUAGCUGGUCUGAGAGGAUGAUCAGCCACACUGGAACUGAGACACGGUCCAGACUCCUACGGGGGGCAGCAGUGGGGAAUAUUGGACAAUGGGCGCAAGCCUGAUCCAGCCAUACCGCGUGGGUGAAGAAGGCCUUCGGGUUGUAAAGCCCUUUUGUUGGGAAAGAAAAGCAGCAGGUUAAUACCCCGCUGUUCUGACGGUACCCAAAGAAUAAGCACCGGCUAACUUCGUG
rnacentral:rRNA from 1 species